GUUGUGCCCUUGAGGCGUGGCUUCCGGAGCUAACGCGUUAAGUCGACCGCCUGGGGAGUACGGCCGCAAGGUUAAAACUCAAAUGAAUUGACGGGGGCCCGCACAAGCGGUGGAGCAUGUGGUUUAAUUCGAUGCAACGCGAAGAACCUUACCUGGUCUUGACAUCCACGGAAGUUUUCAGAGAUGAGAAUGUGCCUUCGGGAACCGUGAGACAGGUGCUGCAUGGCUGUCGUCAGCUCGUGUUGUGAAAUGUUGGGUUAAGUCCCGCAACGAGCGCAACCCUUAUCCUUUGUUGCCAGCGGUCCGGCCGGGAACUCAAAGGAGACUGCCAGUGAUAAACUGGAGGAAGGUGGGGAUGACGUCAAGUCAUCAUGGCCCUUACGACCAGGGCUACACACGUGCUACAAUGGCGCAUACAAAGAGAAGCGACCUCGCGAGAGCAAGCGGACCUCAUAAAGUGCGUCGUAGUCCGGAUUGGAGUCUGCAACUCGACUCCAUGAAGUCGGAAUCGCUAGUAAUCGUGGAUCAGAAUGCCACGGUGAAUACGUUCCCGGGCCUUGUACACACUAAGGGA
rnacentral:rRNA from 1 species